rnacentral:rRNA from 1 species
CCCAGACUCCUACGGGAGGCAGCAGUGGGGGAUAUUGCACAAUGGGGGAAACCCUGAUGCAGCGACGCCGCGUGGGCGAAGAAGUCUUUCGGUAUGUAAAGCCCUAUCAGCAGGGAAGAAGAAAUGACGGUACCUGAGUAAGAAGCACCGGCUAAAUACGUGCCAGCAGCCGCGGUAAUACGUAUGGUGCAAGCGUUAUCCGGAUUUACUGGGUGUAAAGGGAGCGCAGGCGGCACGGCAAGCCUGAUGUGAAAGCCCGCGGCCCAACCGCGGGACUGCAUUGGGAACUACCGGGCUGGAGUGCCGGAGAGGUAGGCGGAAUUCCUAGUGUAGCGGUGAAAUGCGUAGAUAUUAGGAGGAACACCAGUGGCGAAGGCGGCCUACUGGACGGUGACUGACGCUGAGGCUCGAAAGCGUGGGGAGCAAACAGGAUUAGAUACCCCCGUAA